rnacentral:rRNA from 1 species
CUGGUUGAUCCUGCCAGUAGUCAUAUGCUUGUCUCAAAGAUUAAGCCAUGCAUGUCUAAGUUCAAGCGAAAAUAAAGUGAAACCGCGAAUGGCUCAUUACAUCAGUUAUGGUUCCUUAGAUCGCACUUACUACUUGGAUAACUGUGGUAAUUCUAGAGCUAAUACAUGCGCUGGGCUCCAACCCUCGUGGAAGGAGCGCUUUUAUUAGAUCAAAGCCAAUCGGGUCUUCGGGCUCGUUAAAUGGUGACUCUGAAUAACUUUGCUGAUCGCAUGGUCUUGUACCGGCGACGUAUCUUUCAAGUGUCUGCCUUAUCAACUGUCGAUGGUAGGUUAUGCGCCUACCAUGGUGGUAACGGGUAACGGGGAAUUAGGGUUCGAUUCCGGAGAGGGAGCCUGAGAAACGGCUACCACAUCCAAGGAAGGCAGCAGGCGCGCAAAUUACCCACUCCCAGCUCGGGGAGGUAGUGACGAAAAAUAACGAUACGGGACUCUUUAGAGGCUCCGUAAUCGGAAUGAGUACACUUUAAAUCCUUUAACGAGGAUCUAUUGGAGGGCAAGUCUGGU